CAAAGAACCCGGGCCAGUCUAAUACCAGAUCAUGUUUCUCUCUCGUCCACCAGUACAUUCAGCGUUUUAAUGAGGUGUCUGGCAACAAGACAGCUGCCAUCCGAAGAAGAUCUAAAACUCCUGGGGUGAUGAUCACGCAGUAUUUAGC